GAUGAACGCUGGCGGCGUGCUUAAGACAUGCAAGUCGAACGAAGAGCUUGUAGCAAUACGGGCUCUGAGUGGCGAAUGGGUGCGUAACACGUAGGUGACCUGCCCUGAAGUGGGGGAAUAACAGUCCGAAAGGACUGCUAAUACCCCAUGUGGUCCUGGAGGUUAGAGGCUCCAGGUCUAAAGCAGCAAUGCGCUUCAGGAGGGGCCUGCGGCCCANCAGCUAGUUGGCAGGGUAACGGCCUACCAAGGCAACGACGGGUAGGGGACCUGA
rnacentral:rRNA from 1 species